rnacentral:rRNA from 1 species
UACGUAGGGUGCGAGCGUUAAUCGGAAUUACUGGGCGUAAAGCGUGCGCAGGCGGUUUUGUAAGCCAGAUGUGAAAUCCCCGGGCUUAACCUGGGAAUGGCAUUUGGGACUGCAAGGCUGGAGUGCGGCAGAGGAGACUGGAAUUCCUGGUGUAGCAGUGAAAUGCGUAGAUAUCAGGAGGAACACCGGUGGCGAAGGCGGGACUCUGGGGCCGAUACUGACGUGAGGAGCGAAAGCGUGGGGAGCAAACAGG